rnacentral:rRNA from 1 species
UACGUAGGGUGCGAGCGUUGUCCGGAAUUAUUGGGCGUAAAGAGCUCGUAGGCGGUGUGUCGCGUCGGCCGUGAAAACCUGACAGCUUAACUGUGGGCUUGCGGUCGAUACGGGCAUCACUGGAGUUCGGCAGGGGAGACUGGAAUUCCUGGUGUAGCGGUGAAAUGCGCAGGAUAUCAGGAGGAACACCGGUGGCGAAGGCGGGUCUCUGGGCCGAAUGACUGACGCUGGAGGAGCGAAAGCGUGGGGAGCGAACAGG